GUUGAACUUGCUAAUGUACAUUAUUCAGAUGUCAUGUCAAAAGUCACUGUAAUUAAAGUGUUUGGGUGCAGCUUCGUGUUGAACUGCCUCACCCAUCAUCACCAUCAUCAUCAUCAUCAUCAUCAUCACUAGUGUGAGAUCAUCCAGACAAACACGAAAUCCCUCAUUUCUCUUUACCACAGAGGAAUGCUACACAUUAAAACGGUUCAGCACAUGCUAGAGUGCCCACGCCCACAUCUCAACAUCCAAUCAACGACCGGUGGAUAGAACCAAGUCCUGCCUUUUUCGAUAACCAUUAAAAUGGAAUCGGAUCUGGUCAGGGAGGGUUGUCAUUCUUCCAGGCUCUGCAGGAAUAGCACAUUUGUGUGCAUAAAGCAGGGAAAAUGAGUACGGGGAAGCCGAGUGGUCUCAAACCACCCACCAAGAUUGGUAAACCAGCUGCGAUGCCAACCAAAACCUCGCCCACCUCAGCUGGCGCCAAGGCUGUAACAUCCCCAACCUCUAAUACGGCCCAAGAUGCUGCGUCAGAUUUCUCUGUUGGCGAACGAGUUUGGGUCAAUGGAAAUAAACCGGGUUAUGUGCAGUUCAUCGGAGGGACCCAGUUUGCACCGGGCCAAUGGGCGGGAAUAGUUCUAGACGAGCCCAUUGGGAAGAACGAUGGCUCUGUGGCCGGAGUGCGCUACUUCCAGUGUGAGGACUUGAGAGGUAUAUUUACUCGGCCCUCCAAACUGUCCCACACUCCCGUGCCAGAGCGUGAGGCCAAUGGCACACAGACGCCCACCAACAAGACAUCCACCUCCCCUGCCAAAGAUCCCGUUCCUGUCACUCAAACCAUUAGUGCAACUACCAAGACCUCAACAAACCUAACCAGGGCCGCCAGCGAGUCUGCAUCCAAUCUGUCUGAGACGGAUUCGGCCAAGAAGUUGCAGCGGGAACUGAAGUUGGGUCAUCGUGUUCUGGUUGGUGGAACCAAGGCAGGUGUUGUGCGUUUCCUGGGCGAAACUGACUUUGCGAAAGGUGAUUGGUGUGGUGUUGAGUUGGAUGAGCCUCUUGGCAAGAAUGAUGGGGCAGUGGCUGGUGCAAGAUAUUUCCAGUGCCUACCAAAGUAUGGACUGUUCGCUCCUACUCACAAAGUCACCCGCAUUGGAUUCCCGUCCACCACUCCUGCUAAAUCCAAAUCCUCCAGGCGCAGGUCGACCCUAAAGAACAGCCCCAGCGCGUCCUCCAUCAGCUCCCUCAGCUCUGUCACCUCCUCAGUUGGAGGCAAACCCAGCCGAGCAGGCCUGCUCACAGAGACGUCGGCUCAGUAUGCGCGGAAGAUCUCAGGCACCACGGCCCUGCAGGAGGCCCUGAAGGAGAAGCAGCAGCACAUCGAGCAGCUCCUGGCCGAGCGGGACCUGGAGAGGACGGAAGUGGCACGAGCCACAAGUCAUGCCGGAGAGGUGCAGCAAGAGCUGGCGCUGCUCAGACAGGGCCAGGAACAGUAUGCUCUGGAGACGGAAGCCAAGUUGGACCAGUUGCGGAGACUCGUGGAGACUGCAGACAGAGAUAAAGUGGAGCUGAUGAAUCAACUGGAAGAGGAAAAAAGAAAAGUGGAGGACCUGCAGUUCCGUGUAGAGGAAGCUUGCAUUACCAAAGGUGACCUAGAGGUGGCCACAGUGUCCGAGCGCUCCAGAAUCAUGGAGCUGGAAAAGGAGGUGUCCGAUUUGCAUCUUCAGCUGAGAACUCUCCGGGCUGAGACCGCGGGAUCAGCCUCACCUCCAUUACAAGACAAAAAGAUCAAGGAGCUGAACUUUGAAUUGGAAAACAGACAGAAGGAAGUGCUCAUAUUCCAGCAGAAACUCGCCUCCUCUGAACAGGAGAAAACAUCCCUCCAGCAGCAGCUGCAAGAUCUGAAGCAGAAACUUGACACAGCAGUGGAGGACAAUAAUAAAGCAACACUAGCCAUGCAAGAAACGGAAAGGAACAUUAAAAUGCAGAGAGAGAAGCUGGAUCAGGUGUCCAGGGAGAAGGAGGACCUGCAGAGGGAUGUGGCCAUCCAGCAGCAGCAGAAACAGGCGAAGGGUGAAGAGAGAGAGCUUCAGAUGAAGGAGCUGAAGGAGAAGUUGGGCCGAGCAGAAGGAGAGCUGAAAAAAAUCACAGAGAGAAGUGCUGAGCUGGAACAGCAGGUGGUGGAACUGAAAGCCUUCAAAGACCAAACCCAGAGUUUACAGUCUGAUGAAAAGCUGGAGCAGAUGACAGAGAGGAAUAAGAAGUUGCAGGAGGAGCUUGAGGCCCUGAAGCAGCAGAACUCUCAGUAUCAGGAGCAGCUGAGUUCAGAAACGCAGAGCAUCGACAGCCUCCGCAAAGAAAUUGAGGAGCUAAAACUGUCAGCCAAUCAGAAGUCUCGGAGGCAGGUGUCACUCCAGGACGAGAAAGGGACGUUGGCUCAGGAGUUGGAUGUCCACGCACAGCAGAAGCUUGGCAGCGAAGCUCUGACUAGCCCGCUGGAGAUUACAGAGAGUGAGAACUCCAAUGCAAUGAUGUCUGAUAAAGACAAAGAGCUAGAGACACUACGAAAUGAGAUUGCAGUGCUUCGUGUGGAAAAUGCCAUGGCCAAGACACUCCAGUCAGCUGUGACGUCUCUAGAGAGGGACAAAGCCCAGCUGCAGAGCCGAGUGAACAGCCUGGAGCAAAAGCUGGAGGUCCGGCAGACGGGGAAUGGAGAGGAAGUCAGUUCAGGUGAUGCUGCUAUAGACCAACUGAGACAAGAGAAAGAGUUUGCUGAGGGACAGAUCAACUUCCUGAACUCAGUCAUUCUGGACCUCCAGAGGAAGAAUGAAGAACUAAAGGUGAAGCUGAAGAAAAUGGCAUUGACCGAGUUCAACGGAAAUGAUGAAAAUGAUGGUCUUGGUGAGGUCAAAAAGAAGAAGAAAGCCCCACCACGCGUUUUCUGCGACAUCUGUGACUGCUUUGACCUGCACGACACGGAGGACUGUCCCACUCAAAUGCAAUCCCCAGACUCACCUCCACACACCACAUACCACGGGAGCCGCAGCGGCGAACGACCAUACUGCGACAUCUGUGAAGCGUUCGGUCACUGGACAGACUCUUGCAACGAUGACCAAACCUUCUGAACUUCCCCUCAACCCCUCGGCCUAUGAGCAGGCUAUGCACAGUUCGCUUUCAACCAGAUUAUACGCUAUUUUUGUACACAGCAUAUAUACAUUCGAACCUCUUGUACAUUCCCUAAAUGAAUCCGCCCAAAUGAAGGCUAAGGUAAGCUGCAUUUAUGGAAAUGUAAUGUUAUGAAGGCGAGAUAUAUUUCUGUGUUAUCAACACUGUUUUGUGUGUUUCGUAUGUUUUUCACUGUCCUGUGUUGAUUUAUCUAAUGAUGACUUACCAGCAAGAAAAUUGGGAACGGUUUAGCGAUACUUUGCAGUGUAUUUAAAGUUGCUGUGUGUAAUUUCUAUUGGCACAAAAUGGAAUUGCAAAAUAAUGACUGUUUCCAAACAGGUUUUCCUCUCUCUACUAUUGUAGCUCCACCCCAAAGUCAACCCAUUGGUUGAGUCAGAAGCUGACAUUUCAGGGCACUCAAACAAACAGCAAUCUUUUGAAAGCUCCACAAAGCUGUAGCCAGUGUUCGGAUUGGUAUACUAGCACACUGCGUACUGCACACUAGUCAGUAUACACUGAAUACGGCCCACUAUUUUUUAGAUAGCAUGUGAAAUGGUACGCAUUAUGCAACAAUAAAAAUUAAGCUACAUUUUGUUAAAAAUUAUAG
rnacentral:lncRNA from 1 species